rnacentral:rRNA from 1 species
GGGGAAUCUUGGACAAUGGGGGCAACCCUGAUCCAGCGAUGCCGCGUGAGCGAAGAAGGCCUUAGGGUUGUAAAGCUCUUUCGCCCGCGACGAUGAUGACGGUAGCGGGAGAAGAAGCCCCGGCUAACUCCGUGCCAGCAGCCGCGGUAAUACGGAGGGGGCUAGCGUUGUCCGGAAUUACUGGGCGUAAAGCGCGCGUAGGCGGUCCACCAAGUCGGGGGUGAAAGCCCGGGGCUCAACCCCGGAAUGUCCUCCGAGACUGUUGGCCUGGAGUUCGGGAGAGGAGAGCGGAAUUCCCAGUGUAGAGGUGAAAUUCGUAGAUAUUGGGAAGAACACCGGUGGCGAAGGCGGCUCUCUGGCCCGCAACUGACGCUGAGGCGCGAAAGCGUGGGGAGCAAACA